AGAAAGGUCAAACUUCAAAAUCACUUCAAAUGAACCUUGAAAGGUCCAAGUAAUUUAUCCUAAGUUCAAAAAGGUCAAACAAAGUUUGACAAAAAAAUUUCAGCAUUUUUAAAAGUCAGAAACUAUUUUUAAUCAAUUAAAAAUGAAUAAAAAUAACCUAAUUGAACUAAAAUCUCAAAUAAAUCUCAAAUCAAUUCAAAAAUUGAUGAGAAUAUUUUUCAUAGAUCCAUCAUCAUUCAAAUAGGUUGGGAAAAUAUUUUUGUAUUUUUUGAAUAUCAAAAACUAU
rnacentral:lncRNA from 1 species